UACUCCUACGGGAGGCAGCAGUGGGGAAUAUUGGACAAUGGGCGAAAGCCUGAUCCAGCAAUGCCGCGUGAGUGAUGAAGGCCUUAGGGUUGUAAAGCUCUUUUACCCGGGAUGAUAAUGACAGUACCGGGAGAAUAAGCUCAGGCUAACUCCGUGCCAGCAGCCGCGGUAAUA
rnacentral:rRNA from 1 species